CAUGCAAGGCGAGGGGGCAGCAAUGUCACCGUCGUACGGGUGCGUAACGCGUAUGCAACCUACCUAUCACUGGGGGAUAGCCCGGGGAAACCCGGAUUAAUACCGCAUGACACAUUUGUAUAGCAUUAUACGAUUUGUUAAAGAUUUAUUGGUGAUAGAUGGGCAUGCGUUCGAUUAGCUAGUUGGCAGGGUAACGGCCUACCAAGGCAACGAUCGAUAGGGGAGCUGAGAGGUUGAUCCCCCACACGGGCACUGAGAUACGGGCCCGACUCCUACGGGAGGCAGCAGUAGGGAAUAUUGGGCAAUGGAUGCAAGUCUGACCCAGCCAUGCCGCGUGCCGGAUGAAGGCCCUCAGGGUUGUAAACGGCUUUUAUUCGGGAAGAAGAGCAGGGAUGCGUCCCUGUGUGACGGUACCGAAUGAAUAAGCACCGGCUAACUCCGUGCCAGCAGCCGCGGUAAUACGGAGGGUGCGAGCGUUGUCCGGAUUUAUUGGGUUUAAAGGGUGCGUAGGUGGCUUUUUAAGUCAGUGGUGAAAUACAGCCGCUCAACGGUUGAGGUGCCAUUGAUACUGAAAAGCUUGAAACAAGUGGAGGCUGCCGGAAUGGAUGGUGUAGCGGUGAAAUGCAUAGAUAUCAUCCAGAACACCGAUUGCGAAGGCAGGUGGCUACGUUUGAUUUGACACUGAGGCACGAAAGCAUGGGGAGCAAACAGGAUUAGAUACCCUGGUAGUCCAUGCCGUAAACGAUGAGGACUCGCUGUUGGUCUGUCAAGGAUCAGCGGCUUAGGGAAACCGUUAAGUCCUCCACCUGG
rnacentral:rRNA from 1 species